GAUGAACGCUGGCGGCGUGCCUAAUACAUGCAAGUCGAGCGAACGGACGAGAAGCUUGCUUUUCUGAUGUUAGCGGCGGACGGGUGAGUAACACGUGGAUAACCUACCUAUAAGACUGGGAUAACUUCGGGAAACCGGAGCUAAUACCGGAUAAUAUUUUGAACCGCAUGGUUCAAAAGUGAAAGACGGUCUUGCUGUCACUUAUAGAUGGAUCCGCGCUGCAUUAGCUAGUUGGUAAGGUAACGGCUUACCAAGGCAACGAUGCAUAGCCGACCUGAGAGGGUGGUCGGCCACACUGGAACUGAGACACGGUCCAGACUCCUACGGGAGGCAGCAGUAGGGAAUCUUCCGCAAUGGGCGAAAGCCUGACGGAGCAACGCCGCGUGAGUGAUGAAGGUCUUCGGGUCGUAAAACUCUGUUAUUAGGGAAGAACAUAUGUGUAAGUAACUGUGCACAUCUUGACGGUACCUAAUCAGAAAGCCACGGCUAACUACCUG
rnacentral:rRNA from 1 species